GGCAGGGCGCCCGGGGUCCCUGGGCCGAGGCCCGCGCGCAAACUAAUUCCAGAAGGAAAUGUUCUUAGCAUGUUAAGGGGUAGCUGCCAAAAAAUUGCAGCAAACCUGAGACUGCGUUCCGGGACUCUAGAAUCACUCCCGCCAAAGUCAGGGAGGACAGAGGCGGUCUGCUGCCGUGGCUUCCAGUCCUCGGGGCGCUGGAGGUUCUGCCAAAGCAAUAGAGCAAGAAAAAGGAAAAGUAAACAGCAGGACUGGAAAGAGAAGAAACUGUCCUGAUUGAACGAGGAGACUAUUAUCAAGAUGGAAAAGCCAAGAGAAUAUAUGGCUCUGUUAUUUGGACCAAUUAGAGAGUUCAACACCCCUACUAAAUACAAGAUUAAUGAAAACACACACACAAAACCAAGCUCUUAUUUACACCAGUAAAAACCAAGUGGAAUAUAUAAUGGGAAAUUAUGUCAUUAACAGCAGCCAUACUGUUACGUAGAUUCCUAAGAAUAAAUCAAACGGAACAUGUUUCAGGCCAUUCUGAGAAAUCACUAGAUGUUUCUGAAGGGCAGAAAGUAAGCUCGUACUAAAUGGAGGGGUGGAUGAGCAUGCUCACGAAUGGGGAGAUUCAACAGGGGAAAUAAGGUCGGUUCUCUGCAAGCAGCAGUAUAUCCAUUGAGAUGCCUUUCACAAUCCCAGUAGAAUUUUUAAGGACUUGGCAGGCUGCUCCAGCAGCCCACGUGAAGGGCAACAAGCCAGAAGAACCUCAAGCAUUUCAAAGAAGCGGAAGGUGGGGAGGCUGGUCUCACCAGCCCUCACGACCAGUAAGGUGGCGUGGACCUGGUGCAGGGAUGGGCCAGGGGACAGGUGGAACAGACCCCACGCUCUGAUAAAUACUGCGGUGGGAAGGUCCUCCCCAUCCGCAGGGCGGGUGGACCUUCAGUCAAUGCUGGGACAGUGGUUCUCCAGGUGGACAAAGUCACAUUAGGUCUCCCCUUCACACCCCAUCUAAAAUAAGAUACCAAGUGGAGUAAAUAACUAGACGUGGAAAGCACAACCUUUAAAUCUUCUGGAGAGGGGCCAGCCCAUUGCUGAGUGGUUAACUUUGCACGCUCUGCUACGGGGGCCCAGGGUUUUGCUGGUUUGGAUCCUGGGUGUGGACAUGCCACUGCUCAUCACGCCAUGCUGUGGCAGCGUCUCACAUAGCAGAGCUAGAGGGACUUACAGCUAGAGUAUACAGCAAUGUACCAGGAGGCUUUGGGAGAAGAAGAAUUUAAAAAAAAAGAAGAAGAUUGUCACAGGUGUUAGCUCAAGGCCAAUCUUAAACUUUCGGGAGAAAAUAAAGGCAUAAUGUUUGUGACUUCAGGGGUGGGAAUGAUUUCUCAACCAAGUCACUGAAAUCACAAGCCGUCAAAGAUGCAGACAUUUGACUGCAUCACAGUUUAACAAUCCUGUUGGAAAAAAGACAGUGCAGCAAAGUAAAAAUACAGGCUGAAGAGUGGAAGAAGAGAAUUUCCAUGCCUGUGACUGGGAGGGACCAGAGAUCUGGGGAAUGCCCACACCAGCCAACGUGAAGGUGGGUGAGGGGUCUGAGCAGGCACGUCCCAGGGCGGGAAACGUGAAAGAGAAAAUAAGCCACAAACAAAAAGCUUAAGACCACUGGGAUCCAGGGGGUUGCAAGUGGAACCGGCCACGGGACCCCAUAUGUUGGCCCCAGAUCUGCAGCAACACCCAGCGCUGGCAGGCGCGUGGAGCAGCAGGCCUGUGCUCAGACCCAUGCCGAUGAGAGCGAGAAACCGAAGACAGCCUACCUGCCCACCCAUCAGGAGACGGGCUAAACCUGGGCAUGUUCGUUCCCUGAAGUGUGACACAGCAGUUAAACUAGCAUUGUGUGUACCAACAUGGAUGAGCUGAAAAUUCAAUGUUGAGCCAAAUGCAGAUUUAUGCAUACACUGAAUCCAUUCCUAUG
rnacentral:lncRNA from 1 species